AGGAUUAACGCUGGCGGCGUGCCUAACACAUGCAAGUCGAACGAGGUAGCAAUACCUAGUGGCAGACGGGUGAGUAACGCGUGGUCAACCUACCGUUGAGUGGGGGAUAACUAGCCGAAAGGUUAGCUAAUACCGCAUACGAGUCCCGGGGGCAUCCCUGGGCCUUAAAAGGAGCAAUCCGCUCGAUGACGGGACCGCGUCCCAUUAGCUAGAUGGUGGGGUAACGGCCUACCAUGGCUCCGAUGGGUAGCUGGUUUGAGAGAGCGACCAGCCACACUGGGACUGAGAAACGGCCCAGACUCCUACGGGAGGCAGCAGUGAGGAAUUUUCCGCAAUGGGCGAAAGCCUGACGGAGCGACGCCGCGUGUGGGAAGAAGGCCUUCGGGUCGUAAACCACUGUCGAAGGGGACGAUAAUGACGGUACCCUUGGAGGAAGCCCCGGCUAACCUACGUGCCAGCAGCCGC
rnacentral:rRNA from 1 species